rnacentral:misc_RNA from 1 species
UAUAACCACCAGUUGAG